CCCAAACAAGAUGUUUAAUAUCUACUAGCAGGCACGUUGACACGGAAUCAAAGGUGCUCUUCAGAUGUUUUCACAACCAGUUGCCAUCGCUAGUUUCCGGUCUUUUUUCUUCUCAAAUACACAGUAGAUCUGCACAUCAUUAUAUUAAGCAGAAGAGAGUUUAUGUUAGAAGCAGAAUCGAACAACGCGCAGCGCAACGAGCUCACGCCUAGCCCAGCAAUCUUAGAAUUGCUAUUACACUAAGUUAAUUGACAACCAGAAACAAGAGCUAGCAAGACUACUCGCGAAGCAAACAAUCCAAAUGAGAAGCUCCUGCUGUCUCCCAAAGCUCUGCUUCCUUCAUCACUUCCCC
rnacentral:lncRNA from 1 species